rnacentral:rRNA from 1 species
UACGUGGGGUGCAAGCGUUAUCCGGAAUUAUUGGGCGUAAAGAGCUCGUAGGCGGCUUGUCGCGUCGGAUGUGAAAGCCCGGGGCUUAACCCCGGGUCUGCAUUCGAUACGGGCAGGCUAGAGUUCGGUAGGGGAGAUCGGAAUUCCUGGUGUAGCGGUGGAAAUGCGCAGAUAUCAGGAGGAACACCGGUGGCGAAGGCGGAUCUCUGGGCCAUUACUGACGCUGAGGAGCGAAAGCGUGGGGAGCGAACAGG